rnacentral:rRNA from 1 species
ACUGCUCAGUAACACGUGGACAAUCUGCCCAAAAGUCUGGGAUAACCCCGGGAAACUGGGGAUAAUACCGGAUAGAUCACUUCUGCUGGAAUGCUUGGUGGUCGAAAGAGCAAUCGCUUUUGGAUGGGUCUGCGGCGGAUUAGGUUGACGCCGGUGUAACGUACCGGCGUGCCUGUAAUCCGUACGGGUUGUGGGAGCAAGAGCCCGGAGAUGGAUUCUGAGACACGAAUCCAGGCCCUACGGGGCGCAGCAGGCGCGAAAACUCUACAAUGCAGGCAACUGCGAUAGGGGGACAUCGAGUGGCACCCACCUUGGGUGUCUGUCCAACCGUCUAAAAAACGGUUGUUAGCAAGGGCCGGGUAAGACCGGUGCCAGCCGCCGCGGUAAUACCGGCGGCUCGAGUGGUGGCCGAUAUUAUUGAGUCUAAAGGGUCCGUAGCCGGCUUUGCAAGUCCCCUGGGAAAUCCAGCGGCUUAACCGUUGGUCGUCCAUGGGAAACUACAUUGCUUGGGACUGGGAGAGGUAGGAGGUACUCGAGAGGUAGGGGUGAAAUCCUGUAAUCCUUCGGGGACCACCGGUGGCGAAGGCGUCCUACCAGAACAGGUCCGACGGUGAGGGACGAAAGCUAGGGGCACGAACCGGAUUAGAUACCCGGGUAGUCCUAGCCGUAAACGAUGCCCGCUAGGUGUCACGACAGUCGUGAAUUGUCGUGGUGCCGUAGGGAAGCCGCGAAGCGGGCCACUUGGGAAGUACGACCGCAAGGUUGAAACUUAAAGGAAUUGGCGGGGGAGCAC